GAUGAACGCUGGCGGCGUGCCUAAUACAUGCAAGUCGAGCGAACAGAUAAGGAGCUUGCUCCUUUGACGUUAGCGGCGGACGGGUGAGUAACACGUGGGUAACCUACCUAUAAGACUGGGAUAACUUCGGGAAACCGGAGCUAAUACCGGAUAACAUUUGGAACCGCAUGGUUCUAAAGUGAAAGAUGGUUUUGCUAUCACUUAUAGAUGGACCCGCGCCGUAUUAGCUAGUUGGUAAGGUAACGGCUUACCAAGGCGACGAUACGUAGCCGACCUGAGAGGGUGAUCGGCCACACUGGAACUGAGACACGGUCCAGACUCCUACGGGAGGCAGCAGUAGGGAAUCUUCCGCAAUGGGCGAAAGCCUGACGGAGCAACGCCGCGUGAGUGAUGAAGGGUUUCGGCUCGUAAAACUCUGUUAUUAGGGAAGAACAAAUGUGUAAGUAACUGUGCACGUCUUGACGGUACCGAAUCAGAAAGCCACGGCUAACUA
rnacentral:rRNA from 1 species